rnacentral:rRNA from 1 species
UCUGGGAAGGAUGACCAAAGAAGGUGAUAGUCCUGUAUUUAUAAGCAAACUAUGUAAAAACGAGUAGGGCGGAGCACGAGAAAUUCUGUCUGAAGAUGGGUAGACCACUAUCCAAGGCUAAGUACUACUGAUUGACCGAUAGUGAACAAGUACCGUGAGGGAAAGGUGAAAAGCACCCCGAUAAGGGGAGUGAAAGAGAACCUGAAACCGGAUGCCUACAAGCAGUCGGAGGAACAUUAAGUUCUGACGGCGUACCUUUUGUAUAAUGGGUCAGCGACUUAAUUUAUGUAGCAAGCCUAAGCCGAUAGGUGUAAGCGAAGCGAAAGCGAGUGUUAAUAGCGCGAAAAGUUACAUGGAUUAGACCCGAAACCGAGUGAUCUAGCUAUGAGCAGGUUGAAGGUUGGGUAACACCAACUGGAGGACCGCACCCACGCCUGUUGAAAAAGUCGGGGAUGACUUGUAGCUAGGGGUGAAAGGCCAAUCAAACUCGGAAAUAGCUGGUUCUCCGCGAAAACUAUUUAGGUAGUGCGGCAAGCGAAUACCUUGAGGGGUAGAGCACUGGAAGAAUGAGGGGGGAGCGAUCCUUACUAAAUUUUACCAAACUCCGAAUACUCAAGAGUAAUACUUGCCAGACAGACAGUAGGUGCUAAGGUCUAUUGUCGAGAGGGAAAGAGCCCAGACCGUCAAUUAAGGUCCCUAAAUUAUGGCUAAGUGGUAAAGGAAGUGAAUUGUCCAAAACAGUCAGGAGGUUGGCUUAGAAGCAGCCAUCCUUUAAAGAAAGCGUAAUAGCUCACUGAUCUAAUUAAGACGAUUUGCGCCGAAGAUGUAACGGGGCUAAAGCCAUAUACCGAAAUUACGGGUUUGUACUAAGUACAAGCGGUAGCGGAGCGUUCUGUAAGCCUGCGAAGGUGUUCCGUAAGGAAUGCUGGAGGUAUCAGAAGUGAGAAUGCUGACAUGAGUAGCGAAAAGAAGUGUGAGAGACACUUCCGCUGAAAGUCCAAGGUUUCCUGCGUAAAGCUAAUCUGCGCAGGGUUAGUCGGCCCCUAAGGUGAGGCUGAGAAGCGUAGCUGAUGGGAAGCAGGUUAAUAUUCCUGCACCAGCUAGGAGGUGACGGAUUUCAAAGAUUGUAACUGAUUAUUGGAUUUCGGUUGCAGUUCAGAAGUUCCAGGAAAGAGCCCUAGCAUAGACCGUACCCCAAACCGACACAGGUGGACAGGUAGAGAAUACCAAAGCGCUUGAGAGAACUAUGUUGAAGGAACUAGGCAAAAUGCUUGUGUAACUUCGGGAUAAGCAAGCCCCAUUUUUAGGCAACUAAAGGUGGGGGGCACAUACUAGGGGGUAGCGACUGUUUACUAAAAACACAGGGCUCUGCUAAAUUGAAAGAUGAAGUAUAGGGUCUGACGCCUGCCCGGUGCUGGAAGGUUAAGGAGAGAUGUUCACGCAUUGAACUGAAGCCCCAGUAAACGGCGGCCGUAACUAUAACGGUCCUAAGGUAGCGAAAUUCCUUGUCGGGUAAGUUCCGACCUGCACGAAUGGCGUAACGACUUCCCCGCUGUCUCCAACAUAGGCUCAGCGAAAUUGAACUCUGAGUUAAGAUGCUCAGUACCCGCGGUUAGACGGAAAGACCCCGUGAACCUUUACUAUAGCUUUGCAGUGGUAUUAGGUAAUAGAUGUGUAGAAUAGGUGGGAUGCUAUGAAGCAGGGACGCUAGUUCUUGUGGAGCAGACUUUGAAAUACCACCCUUUUGUUAUUUGAUAUCUAACCUGCUCCCGUAGAUCCGGGAGAGGGACCCUGCAUGGUGGGUAGUUUGACUGGGGCG